GCGGGUAUCGUUCAGUGGUAGGACCCCACUUUCCCAUAGUGGUGACACCAGUUCAAAUCUGGUUACCCGCUCCA
rnacentral:tRNA from 2 species